rnacentral:rRNA from 1 species
CACGGAGGGUGCGAGCGUUAAUCGGAAUUACUGGCGUAAGCGUACGCAGGCGGUUAGUUAAGUCAGAUGUGAAAGCCCCGGGCUCAACCUGGGAAACCUGCAUUUGAAACUGGCUAACUUAGAGUGCGGCAGAGGGUGGUAGAAUUUCAGGUUGUAGCGGUGAAAUGACGUAGAGAUCUGAAGGAAUACCGAUGGCGAAGGCAGCCACCUGGGCCGACACUGACGCUCAUGUACGAAAGCGUGGGUAGCAAACAGGAUUAGAUACCCGGGUAGUCC